rnacentral:rRNA from 1 species
AAUCAACGCUGGCGGCGUGCCUAACACAUGCAAGUCGAACGCGAAAGUGGAGCAAUCCAUGAGUAGAGUGGCAAACGGGUGAGUAACACGUGGGUGACCUGCCUUAGAGUGGGGGAUAACGUCCCGAAAGGGACGCUAAUACCGCAUAACAUGCUGCCUUUUAAGAGGCGGACAUCAAAGCCGGGGACCGCAAGGCCUGGCGCUUAAAGAGGGGCCCGCGCCUGAUUAGCUAGUUGGUGGGGUAAUGGCUCACCAAGGCAACGAUCAGUAUCCGGCCUGAGAGGGCGGACGGACACACUGGGACUGAGACACGGCCCAGACUCCUACGGGAGGCAGCAGUGGGGAAUUGUUCGCAAUGGGCGCAAGCCUGACGACGCAACGCCGCGUGGAGGAUGAAGAUCUUCGGGUUGUAAACUCCUUUCGAUCGAGACGAAUGGCCCUUGGGCUAACAUCCCGAGGGAGUGACGGUACCGAGAGAAGAAGCCCCGGCUAACUCCGUGCCAGCAG